UACGAAGGGGGCUAGCGUUGUUCGGAAUUACUGGGCGGAAAGCGCACGUAGGCGGAUCGAUCAGUCAGGGGUGAAAUCCCAGGGCUCAACCCUGGAACUGCCUUUGAUACUGUCGAUCUGGAGUAUGGAAGAGGUGAGUGGAAUUCCGAGUGUAGAGGUGAAAUUCGUAGAUAUUCGCAAGAACACCAGUGGCGAAGGCGGCUGACUGGUCCGGUUCUGACGCUGAGGCGCGAAAGCGUGGGGAGCAAACAGG
rnacentral:rRNA from 1 species